rnacentral:lncRNA from 1 species
CCCAACUCAAAAUCGUGAAGGACCUACAAUCAAACACCUGAUCAUAGUGUGAGAGUGGAAGGAUACCACUAUUACAGCCAAUGCAAUUGUCUAGACUUAAAUGAUGAACUCCCCAGCAGAAAAGGUCAAAUGAGAUAUCAUUGCUAACCACUUCUAAAGUUCUUCAUCUGGAAAGCGCCUCAGGGACAAAUCUGACCCUUAUCUCACUCUAAGAGGUUGGCCCUUCCUGAGCUACCUUAACCCAGAAAGAAUGCUUAGUCAAGUUCAUCUCAAGGACUAGGACAAUCAACGAUCGUCGAGUAGAUACUGUAGUAAACUCAACGAUCAUAGUGCAACCUCAACGAUCGUAG